AACGAACGCUGGCGGCAUGCCUAACACAUGCAAGUCGAACGAGAUCUUCGGGUCUAGUGGCGCACGGGUGCGUAACGCGUGGGAAUCUGCCCUUGGGUUCGGAAUAACUUCGGGAAACUGAAGCUAAUACCGGAUGAUGACGUAAGUCCAAAGAUUUAUCGCCCAAGGAUGAGCCCGCGUAGGAUUAGCUAGUUGGUGAGGUAAAGGCUCACCAAGGCGACGAUCCUUAGCUGGUCUGAGAGGAUGAUCAGCCACACUGGGACUGAGACACGGCCCAGACUCCUACGGGAGGCAGCAGUGGGGAAUAUUGGACAAUGGGCGCAAGCCUGAUCCAGCAAUGCCGCGUGCAGGAUGAAGGCC
rnacentral:rRNA from 1 species